rnacentral:misc_RNA from 1 species
GAAAUGCGAUAAGUAAUGUGAAUUGCAGAAUUCAGUGAAUCAUCGAAUCUUUGAACGCAACUUGCGCUCCUUGGUAUUCCGAGGAGCAUGCCUGUUUGAGUGUCAUUUAAUUCUCAAUCUCUACAAACUUGUGUUGUCAGCAGAUUGGAGGUGGGGGCCAUUCUGUGGGUUUAUUUAUUAGAUCCACUCCCCUGAAAAUCAUUAGCUGGAAUGCCUUUGCAAAGCCAACUAUCAGUAUGAUAAUUAUCUACUCUGAUGUGGUUGUAAAGGGAAUCUGCUUUCAAACUGUCGUUUCAGACACUAUGAAUCCAUUUGACCUCAAAUCAGGUAGGACUACCCGCUGAACUUAA